GGGCAUGUGGUCUAGAGGUAUGAUUCGUGCUUAGGGUGCGCGCGGUCCUGGGUUCGAUUCCCAGCUUGCCCC